AUUGAACGCUGGCGGCAUGCCUUACACAUGCAAGUCGAACGGUAACGCGGGGCAACCUGGCGACGAGUGGCGAACGGGUGAGUAACACAUCGGAACGUGCCCAGUAGUGGGGGAUAGCCCGGCGAAAGCCGGAUUAAUACCGCAUACGACCUAAGGGUGAAAGCAGGGGAUCGCAAGACCUUGCGCUAUUGGAGCGGCCGAUGUCAGAUUAGGUAGUUGGUGGGGUAAAAGCCUACCAAGCCGACGAUCUGUAGCUGGUCUGAGAGGACGACCAGCCACACUGGGACUGAGACACGGCCCAGACUCCUACGGGAGGCAGCAGUGGGGAAUUUUGGACAAUGGGCGCAAGCCUGAUCCAGCCAUGCCGCGUGCGGGAAGAAGGGCCUCGGUUGUAACGCUUUGUCAGGAGAAACGGUACGUGGGUUAAGUA
rnacentral:rRNA from 1 species